UACGGAGGGUGCAAGCGUUAUCCGGAUUCACUGGGUUUAAAGGGAGCGCAGGCGGCUUGGUAAGUCAGUGGUGAAAGGCUUAAGCUUAACUUGGGAACUGCCAUUGAUACUAUCAGUCUUGAAUGUUGUUGAGGUUUGCGGAAUGGGUCAUGUAGCGGUGAAAUGCGUAGAUAUCGGAAGGAACACCAGUGGCGAAAGCGGCUUCCUGGUCCAGCACCGACGUUCAGGCACGAAAGCGUGGGGAGCAAACAGG
rnacentral:rRNA from 1 species